rnacentral:rRNA from 1 species
AUUGAACGCUGGCGGCAUGCCUUACACAUGCAAGUCGAACGGCAGCGGGGGAGAAGCUUGCUUUUCCUGCCGGCGAGUGGCGAACGGGUGAGUAAUACAUCGGAACGUGCCCUGUAGUGGGGGAUAACUAGUCGAAAGAUUAGCUAAUACCGCAUACGACCUGAGGGUGAAAGUGGGGGACCGCAAGGCCUCAUGCUAUAGGAGCGGCCGAUGUCUGAUUAGCUAGUUGGGGGGGGAAAGGCCUACCAAGGCGACGAUCAGUAGCUGGUCUGGGAGGACGAUCAGCCACACUGGGACUGAGACACGGCCCAGACUCCUACGGGAGGCAGCAGUGGGGAAUUUUGGACAAUGGGCGAAAGCCUGAUCCAGCAAUGCCGCGUGUGUGAAGAAGGCCUUCGGGUUGUAAGGCACUUUUGUCCGGAAAGAAAUGGCUCUGGUUAAUACCUGGGGUCGAUGACGGUACCGGAAGAAUAAGGACCGGCUAACUACGUGCCAGCCGCCGCCGUAA